AGUGAACGCUGGCGGUAGGCCUAACACAUGCAAGUCGAACGGCAGCACAGAGGAGCUUGCUCCUUGGGUGGCGAGUGGCGGACGGGUGAGGAAUACAUCGGAAUCUACUCUGUCGUGGGGGAUAACGUAGGGAAACUUACGCUAAUACCGCAUACGACCUACGGGUGAAAGCAGGGGACCUUCGGGCCUUGCGCGAUUGAAUGAGCCGAUGUCGGAUUAGCUAGUUGGCGGGGUAAAGGCCCACCAAGGAGACGAUCCGUAGCUGGUCUGAGAGGAUGAUCAGCCACACUGGAACUGAGACACGGUCCAGACUCCUACGGGAGGCAGCAGUGGGGAAUAUUGGACAAUGGGCGCAAGCCUGAUCCAGCCAUACCGCGUGGGUGAAGAAGGCCUUCGGGUUGUAAAGCCCUUUUGUUGGGAAAGAAAUCCAGCUGGCUAAUACCCGGUUGGGAUGACGGUACCCAAAGAAUAAGCACCGGCUAACUACGUGCCAGCAGCCGCCGUAA
rnacentral:rRNA from 1 species